rnacentral:rRNA from 1 species
UACGGAGGGUGCAAGCGUUGUCCGGAUUUAUUGGGUUUAAAGGGUGCGUAGGCGGCUUUUUAAGUCAGUGGUGAAAUACAGCAGCUCAAACUGUUGAGGUGCCAUUGAUACUGAGAGGCUUGAGUACAGAUGAGGUAGGCGGAAUUUAUGGUGUAGCGGUGAAAUGCAUAGAUACCAUAAAGAACACCGAUUGCGAAGGCAGCUUACUAAGCUGUAACUGACGCUGAGGCACGAAAGCGUGGGGAGCGAACAGG